rnacentral:rRNA from 1 species
GCCUCCCCCGCCGCGCGGGGCCGGCGGGGGGGGGGCACGGGGGGCCUACGGGAGGCAGCAGUGAGGAAUUUUGCGCAAUGGGGGCAACCCUGACGCAGCAACGCCGCGUGAGUGAAG